rnacentral:lncRNA from 1 species
CACCCUUUUUGAACCUCAGCAUUCUAUUCUACAUGACAGCAUUAGCUUAAAUCUACUCUGAUUCUUUUUUUCCUCUUAACCUUUUAUAAAACCAAUACAUAUACUCUCAGAAGAAGCAAUUGAAUCUACUAGAAUGUUUUGGAUUUGGAGAGCUUUGAUAAUUCAGAUGGUGCAAUAAUAUUUAAUAUUUGGAAUAAUCAGAGUUUGGAGUGAGAAACUACCUUCACAUCUCUUCAGUCCAGUCUCUUUACCCCAGAUGAAACAUCGUUUCUCAGGAAGUUCACCAGAAGCUAUCAAAAGGUUGUCUCCACACCUGGAUUUAAAGCAUUGACCCACAAGAAGUUAUUUCUCAGCCUUUCUUGCAGUUUCCAUGUACUUGGGCCCUACACAAGAUGUGGGAUGAAAGCAGUGAAAGACAUUUCCACUACUGGUCCUCUUAAAAAUUCUAAUACAAACUUCCAGUAAUGACCUUGGAGACCCUAUGUUCCAGAUUGAGAAGUUAAAAGAUAGACAAGGACUACAUAGCCUACAUCAAGUUUUGGGUGAGUGAGAAAUAAAUAUUGAUUAUGUUAAGACAUUGAUUAAUAUAUCUUAGAAGUAGGAUAAUGAGAGUAUUUAUUUCCUGUGUUAUAUAUUAUUAAAUUCCAUGUUGUAACAAACAAACCCACAAACCACAGUGACUGUAUUGUUCCACCAUACAGUGUAUUUUUUAUUAUGGUUAACAAAACAUAUAACGUGAGAUCUACCCAUUUAGCAAAAUUUUAAGGUUACAGUACCAUACUGUUAGCUAUAAGCACAGUUUUACAACAUAUCCCUAGAACUAUUUUAUCUUGCGUGACUGAAAUUUUAUACCCAUUGAAGAGCAAAUCCCUAUUUCCCUCUCCUCCCAGUCCCUGGCAACCACUGUCCUCCUUUCUGCUUCUGUGAGCUUGAUUACUUUAGAUAUCUCAUAGAAAAUUUAGUAUAUGCAUAUAACAGUAUACUAGUCAGUCAUAAAAGAAGAAAACCUGUCACAUGCAACAACACGCAUGAAUCUUGAGGAUGCUAUGCUAAGUGAAAUAAGCCAGUGCAUUUUUUAAAAAAAACUUUCUGUUGGAUCUCUGUAGAUGAAAGCCCCAAAAAAUACACCUAAAAGUUAUUUGUUUCCAUUUAUAUGUAUAUUCAUCCUAUAUUUGUUAUUUUAUUUAUCUAUUCUUUGAAAUACUUAUAUUUUAUUUUUCACUAAAUUGUACAGAUUCUGCCUCUAACAUUACUUAUCACUGUUGAAUCUUUCUCUCCUCUGCAUUUCAAUCUCUACCAUUUUUGUUGAGCUUCUAAUCUUCUAUUGUCUGAACUUAUGCAAAAGCCUUGUUCCCAGUUUCUGUCUGUGCACAUGCAUCACCUAUAACUGAGACCAGAUUGAUUACUAUGGAAAGCAAAUCAGCUUAUGUCACCUAUUCGUUUAAAGAGUUUAUUUGACUCCCAAGUUUUCAUAGUAUAUUUUAAAAAUCUUCAUAAUUUAUUCUCAGUCUACUUUUGUGCCUUCAUCUCAAUACCAAGUUUAAAUGUCACUGUUUCUUUCAAGUCUUUUCUCAUUAACAAAAAUAAUUAUUUUCGUUCUUUCUA